rnacentral:rRNA from 1 species
GAUGAACGCUGGCGGCGUGCCUAAUACAUGCAAGUCGAGCGAACAGACGAUGACCUUGCUCCCCUGCCGUUACCGGCGGACGGGUGAGUAACAAGUGGAUAACCUACCUAUAAGACUGGUAUAACUUCGGGAAACCGGACCUAAUACCACAGAAUAUAUUACACCACAUGGAUCAUUAGUGAAAGACGGCUUUGUUGAAACUUAUAGUUGGACCCGCGCCGCAUUAGCUAGUUGGUAAGGUAACGGCUUACCAAGGCAACGAUGCGUAGCCGACCUGAGAGGGUGAUCGGCCACACUGGAACUGAGACACGGUCCAGACUCCUACGGGAGGCAGCAGUAGGGAAUCUUCCGCAAUGGGCGAAAGCUUGACGGAGCAACGCCGCGUGAGUGAUGAAGGUCUUCGGAUCGUAAAACUCUGUUAUUAGGGAAGAACGAAUGUGUAAGUAACUAUGCACGUCUUGACGGUACCUAAUCAGAAAGCCACGGCUAACUACGUG